rnacentral:misc_RNA from 1 species
AAAAAUUUAAUAUUAUUUGAAAUGGGAAGAAAUGAGUAAUAAAUACAAUAUUAUCACAAAAUAUAGGUUUGUUUCUUGACAGAAAAAUCAGAAGGAGAGUGAAUCUAUUCUGUCAAAGCUAUGCUCAAAAUCACCGUAAGCAAAAACAGAACAAAAUACCGCACGCCAAGAACAGGCAGUGCAACUGAAACAGAUUGAGAUCCUACAACAAAAACAAAAACCAUGGCACAAAAAUGCUAAACACUCAAGUACAUAACACAUGCACUUAAUUGUUACAGACACACCCAUUAAAAAGAUAAACACUAUAAUUAAGUUUAUACAUCUUGUUCGGCCAUAAUUAGGGACCAUGGUCCAGG